GGCGAGGAAAACGGUUUUGCCCGGGUCUCAUAAGCCCGGUGUUGUCGGUUCGACUCCGGCACUCGCCA
rnacentral:tRNA from 1 species